rnacentral:rRNA from 1 species
UACGUAGGGGGCAAGCGUUGUCCGGAAUCAUUGGGCGUAAAGAGCGCGUAGGCGGUCCGGUAAGUCCGCUCUGAAAGUCCGGGGCUCAACCCCGGGAGGCGGGCGGAUACUGUCGGGCUAGAGUCCGGAAGAGGCGAGUGGAAUUCCUGGUGUAGCGGUGAAAUGCGCAGAUAUCAGGAGGAACACCAAUGGCGAAGGCGGUUCUCUGGGCAUUACCUGACGCUGAGGAGCGAAAGUGUGGGGAGCGAACAGG